UAGGGAAUCUUCCGCAAUGGGCGAAAGCCUGACGGAGCAACGCCGCGUGAGUGAAGAAGGAUUUCGGUUCGUAAAGCUCUGUUGUUAGGGAAGAAUGAUUGUGUAGUAACUAUACACAGUAGAGACGGUACCUAACCAGAAAGCCACGGCUAACUACGUGCCAGCAGCCGCGGUAAUACGUAGGUGGCAAGCGUUGUCCGGAAUUAUUGGGCGUAAAGCGCGCGCAGGUGGUUUAAUAAGUCUGAUGUGAAAGCCCACGGCUCAACCGUGGAGGGUCAUUGGAAACUGUUAAACUUGAGUGCAGGAGAGAAAAGUGGAAUUCCUAGUGUAGCGGUGAAAUGCGUAGAGAUUAGGAGGAACACCAGUGGCGAAGGCGGCUUUUUGGCCUGUAACUGACACUGAGGCGCGAAAGCGUGGGGAGCAAACAGGAUUAGAUACCCUGGUAGUCCACGCCGUAAACGAUGAGUGCUAAGUGUUGGUCUCAUAAGAGAUCAGUGCUGCAGCUAACGCAUUAAGCACUCCGCCUGGGGAGUACGANNNCAAGGUUG
rnacentral:rRNA from 1 species